UAAAAUUCUCUCCAACAUUUUUAUAAAACCCCAAAUUUUUAUAAAAGUGUUUAUUAGGCAAUUCUUGAUUUAUUUAGAAAUCUUGUUUUUAACUAAUAAAUUAUGAUUAUUGCAUGAUAAUUUAAUUUCUAUUUCAUUGAUUACAAUCCAUAAUUUGAUUAAUAAAAAUUUGAUAUUAGAAAGUUUAUAGCCAAAUUUUAUAAAGUUUUUAAGCUUUAAGAUUUAUAAAUUUGGAUUUUGGGCUCUUUAGGGUUUUUGGAAUAUUGUUUGAUGUUCAUCAUCAUAAUGAAGUAUAAUUAGAAUAUUUUAAUUUAUUUUUAGGGUUUUAUACCCUUUUUCAAUUAUAACAAAGCUUGAAAGUUUCAUUCAAAUUAUAGCAUUGGCAUUUCCUAUUGUAGUUAAGCAACUUACUAGAAUCGUAAGUGUCAAGUAUAUUAGUCCUAGGUCUUAGAUGGAUCCUAGUUUAUGCAAGAUUUUGACCUAAUUUAUACUACUAGGCCAUGGCAUGAUGUGCAUGAAUGGUUAUUAUAAAGAUGCAUGAGUCCGAGAAUGACCUGAAUUGACAGUUGUCACAGUAUCCCCCACUUAAAAAGAAUUUCGUCCCGAAAUUCAUUCUAUGUCAUCGCUUGUCAUCGCAUGGGAAAAGUUGUGGAUACUUUUCCUUCAUGAAGUCCUCACGCUCCCAGGUGUACUCCGGCCCGCGUUUUGAGUUCCAUCGAACUUUCACAAUCGGGAUCUUACUCCGCUUAAGUUGUUUUACUUCCCUGUCAAGGAUUUCCAUCGGUUCCUCAAUGAAGUUUAGCUUAUCAUUGAUCUUAAUUUCCUCCAGGGGUACUAUCAAUGUUUCGUCGGCUAGACAUUUCUUAAGGUUGGAGACGUGGAAUGUGUCGUGAAUGGCGCUUAACUCUUGGGGCAACUGGAGUUUAUAAGCUACCAGACCAAUCCUUUCAAUGACUUCAAAGGGUCCAACAUAUAUAUCUCCGGCUUAGUUUUCCUUUCUUACCAAAACGUACAAGCCCUUUCCAAGGCGACACUUUUAAAAGUACCUUGUCUCCUACUUGGAAUUCUAAUGGUUUUCGAUGAUUUAUCCGCAUAACUUUGCUAACGAUCUCUAGCAGCUUUCAGCCUAUCCUUGAUGAUAGCAAUCUUGUCAGAUGUUUCCUGGAUAAGUUCGACUUUAGUCAACUGUCUGUCUCCAAUUUCUGUCCAGCAUAAGGGCGAACGACACUUGCGCCCAUACAAUGCUUCAUAUGGAGCACAUUGGAUACUCGUGUGGUAACUGUUAUUGUAGGAAAACUCAAUUAGAGGCAAAUGAGUAUCCCAACUUCCUUUUAACUCAAUGACACACACUCGUAGCAUGUCUUCCAAUGUUUGUAUUGUUCUCUCUGUUUGCCCAUCUGUCUGAGGGUGGUAAGCUGUGCUCAAAUCUAUCUUGGUUCCUAGUGCCUUCUGUAACAUCCACGGAAUACAAUACAAUUCUUCUUCAGGUAUUUGUGGAUCGUCAUGCUUGAUACUAUGUUUAAACUUCUUCCUGGCUUCUCACCGUGUAUGAUAAGGGUUUCUCCAUUAAGGAGAGGCACUCUAAUGAUUUUCUCGUAACAACCAAUGUCCGCUCUAUUUUUGGAUAACCAAUCCAUCCCUACUAUCACAUCAACACUACCUAUCUCUAUAGGAAUUAGGUCAAUGCUAAAGAGUUAUCAGCUAAAUUCAGAGUACAACAAGGAAUUAUAUCAUUAGCCCUAAUUUCAUACCCAUCAGCAAGUUCAAUAGCAUAAGCAUUCGUCAUCUUUCUCGAUUUCAAGCCAAUUAACGGUCUAAAUGCUAAAGAAACAAAACUCCUACCUGCUCCCGCAUCGAACAGUAUGAUGCAAAAUGGUUGUUCAGGAGAAACGUACCUGUUAUCACUUCAGGGUUCUGACGAGCUUCUUCUGCACCAAUCACAAAGGCUACACCACUUGGCCGUCCAACUUGAUUUCCUUGAAAGUUUUGCCUGGCUUGGCCUUGUCCAAUGUUACCAGGUCCAUUGUUCAGUUUGGGACAUGCUCUACGGAGAUGAUCAGUACUCCCGCACUCGUAACAUGUCCUUUUUCCCUCCUUAUUCACCUUACAAUACUUCGAGUAAUGGCCUGUUUGCUUACAGUUUUAGCACAGUGGGCAAGCUCCCUUGUGAUGGAAGUUACACUUAUUGCACUUCGAAAGCGGCCCUGAGUACUGCUUUCGUUCCUGCACUUCCCGUUCUUGAGUUUUCACUGGUUCUUGCUCCUGGGCUCUUACCAUAAAGUUUCUUGAGACUUUCUACUUCCUCCCUGACUUGCCUCCAUACUUCUUCUCUCCCUGAUCUGCUGACUUCCUCUUGCUACUAGAGCUUUCCUUUGUCGAUGCUCUCAUCCUUAUCACAUCAUUGGUUAGUCGAUUUGCUAGACUUACUGCACUUUGAAUAGUAGUUGGGUUUGCUGAGGUAACCAUUCCCCGAAUCUCUGGUGCCAGACCCCAGAUGUAACGAUCUAUCGGUUUCUCCUCAGGAGUAACCAUGUGAGGUACCAGUUUUGCUAGUUCAUGAAAUCGGACUGUGUACUUCUCUAUUUGUGUUCCAACCAUAGAAUGGCUCCAGAAUUCAGAUUCAAGCUUCUGAAGUUCAUCCUUGGGACAAUAUUCCUCUAUCAACAGCUUCUUUAGGUCUUCCCAAGUUAGCUGAUAUGCCACUGUACGGCCUCGGGUUUGCACUAGAGUAUUCCACCAGGUUAAUGCCCUAUCUUGGAAUAGGCAAGAUGCAUACUCACCUUUGUUGUGCUCGAGGAAUUUGCUAAUGUGAAGGACCGACUCCAUGCUAUCAAUCCAUUUCAGCAACCCGACCGCACCUUCCUUUCCAUGGAACUCCUUAGGUUUACAGGCCAUAAAGGACUUGUAGUUACAUUCUCUUUCAUUGUUUCCCCGGUUUCCUCCAUUACUUCCUUGGUUAGCAUUAUGUCCUGUAGUUACUUGAGUAACAAUGUUUGGGAUUGCUUCCAUGAGUUGUUGUGCUACAAUUUGAGCAACAUCGGGUGUUUCGUUCUGUGGGCGCCUGCGAUUAGGCCUUCCUGACAUGGUUCUAUUACACAGGAAAAGAAAUACAUAUAAAUACAUAAAAUAAUGUAUAAUAUUUAGUUCACUACUAUUUUGAAAACUGUAAGUGUUGUCAAAUUAUUGGUUUGCAUAAGUACUAGACAUAUAUAUUUUAGAAAGAAAAGAAAAGAAAAAUCUCUUUAUUCGACCAUUUACCAAAUAAAUUCUAGGGUUUGACCUCAUAGUAAAAGUUUUCAAACAUAAAAUAAAAUUCUUCAUUACCAUUUGACAUUGUCUUAAAAACCAAACCAAUACAUCAAAUCCAAAAUAAAGUUUCAAAUGUUUUUCCCAAAAGACACCCAACAUGGGUUUUCAUUUCAUGACAAAAUAAAAUAAAAUACUGAAAUCAGAACCAAACACUAAUCGCUAUCCCAACAAGAAACAUCAACACCACAAUCAGUAAUAGCCCAACAAGCACAUAAUAUGCGGUCAUCGCACGACAUGCCACUCGUCUAACAGUACUAGCAGUGUCAGCAGUCUCCAUCGAAUGUUGAAACAUGAUUUACAUUCCUGUCACGACUUCAUCCAAAACUUCCCGAUGUCCAGCUAUCACAGCGAGACUGUGACGUAGGUCCGCUGCUAUCGACUGCAAUCUCCGGGACUCCUCCGGGGUCAUACCUGGCUGUCUGACAGGUAUCCCUAUGACUCGCUGUCGUGAGGGUGCUCUCGGUCCUGCAUCGCUGGGUCCUACCCCGCUAGGUCCUUCCGUGCCAUGUCCUGAUGUGCUGGUGGGUAUCCUUCCUGGAAUGGGAACACUCUUCCUCACCGUCCUCCAAAUGCGAAGUCCAUAAAGUGGUGGCUGUGGCAACACUGAUGUAGGUGAUGCCUCGCGUCGUUGACUCUGGGCGUUGUCAUUGUUGAUCUCCACUGAGUUCCCUAUAUCUUCUGUAUCCUCUGAUGGGUCUUCUUCUACCGAGGCAGGGGGAUUACGUCGAGGGAUAACAGUGACGUAGCUGGACUCAUCGGCUGAGGCGGCAGCGUGGGAAGAUGACGAUAUUGACAUAGUGGACUGAGACAUAAUUUCAAUGAGAUAUGAAAUAAAUAACAAUGUAUUCCUAUAGUAUGCAAUGCUUACACACACCAAAAUUAACCUUUUUGAAUUUUUUUUUUGAAAUAAAGCUUUCUCAAAUAUUUUUGUUGAACAUAUUCCCAUUAUAAUUAGCUCAAGCUUUGUAUAAAUCUUUCCUUAAUUGAACAUAGGUGAUCAGGCUAUGUUUAAUCGAGGUCCAAUGAUACAACUCCCGACCUAAUUAUACUAGUAAUAUGUUUGAUGUAAAAAGAAUUUCUUUGUAAGUUUUAGUUAUAGGUUGUGUUUUCUUAAAGAAAAACCGAUGUUCUCUAUAACUUUAGCUCUGAUACCACUUCUGUCACACCCCGCUAAAGCGGAAACGCAAGGUAUGACAGCGAUAACGGUUUCAUUGCAAAAGAUAAAGAUACAUCACCAUAGCAGUAUUUAAAAGUUUACAACCCAUAGCUUCAAAAGAAACAAAAUACAAGUUUUUCAAAAUAACAUUGUUCAAAAUAUAGCUUCAUAAUAGCUUCAACACGAUGCAGCAUGCUCUAUGAUGAUGAAUCUUUACAUCCACUUACUAAUUACUUCCUGAAAAAGCAUGUAAAACGAGCGUCAACUAUGAAAAUAGUUGGUGAGUAUCACAAGUUUAUAAAAAUCGAGCGUACAAUAAGGCUUUUCGUAAAUACAAGUACAUUGCUUCAAUGAUAAACAAGUUGAUUGCUAUUAAUGAAUACAAGUUUAUUGCUAUAACGAGAAACGAGUUUGUAUGUGUAUGAGCAAACAAUGAGUCUCAACCAAACCUAUGACUGAAGCCCUAUCGAGAUCUAUGCUUAUCGUUCCAUAGAUGAAUAUGGUAUCAUGCACUCCAGCGAUUCGGGCGAGUGAGGAGUUGUCAAUUCCUAAUAGCGCUAUCCAUAAUGACCAUUGGCUCAAAGAGUUAAUGGUUAGAGAUAAGGGAAGGGCCUUAGUACGAUAAGUUCUCAUGUUCCGUGUUGCAUAGACAUACAUAAAGAAACAUAGCAAUACAAUAGCAAUCAUGUUUGAUACAAUUCAAUUUAAAUACAACAUGCAAACAGUAGUUUUUCUGGACAUGCUUUUCCACCCCAAAACAUAAAAACCGAAAAUAGGGGAGUGCGUGAAUACUCACGAUGUUUUGUGUAGACACAAGCGGUACUUCGGGAUGCACCAACGUCUUACUACCGGGAUCCUACGACAUCAAACACACACUAGUGAGUUUCCAUGUCGAAAUCUAAUGUUAAUAUACUAAACUCUACAUAUAGUGAAAUGCCAAUUUAUGUUUUAGUAUUUGAUUUUAUAUUAAUUGGUUACACUUUUUCUGAAAUAGUGAAAUUCCACAAAUCGUGCAAUUAAUUACAACAUUGGAAUAUAAAUUUUCCAAAAUUUUAAGUCCUUAUUACAACAUAAAUUCAUGAAAAUAGCAUUCAAAGGAUAAAAAUUCUCAAACUUUUUAUUUAACUGUUAUUACACAAUACUAAGCUGGGAAAAUUAUAAAAAUGGAUUUCCAAGCUGUUUAAUUAUAUUUUAUGAUUUUUGAGCAUUUAUUCCAAUAAAAAUUGAAAUAAAUAGAAAACAGUUUCCAAAAUUACCCAAACUUUUUAAUUAACUGUUAUUGUACAUAUAUAGGCUGGGAAAAAUAUAAAAUAUAUUUUUCAGUGGGUAUUUAUAUUUUUCCUUGUUUUAUUCCUUUAAAUAAUCUUUAAUUGAAGAAAUAAUAUUAAACAGUUAAAAUAAAUUACCAAAAAUUUUUGUAACAUCAUUUACAGUAUAAAUAACCUGAGAAAAAUAUCAAAAGUGGUCUUCAUAUUAUAUAAUCCGGUUUUGGGUAUUUAUGUGUAUUUAAGUGUAAUUAACUUUAGAAAUUAAGAGAAAAAUAGUUUACAGUGGAGUAAACCCUCAAAAUUUUUAUGUAACCUCUACUGUAGAACAUGAUGUUUUGGUAAAUUGUCAUGAAUUUUGGAUAAUCAGAACUAUUUUUCCUAUUUUUAAACCAUUACAAUUACCAAAAAUUGGGAAAAAUAGCAAUGCAUGAUGAAAAAUUCCGAGAUUAUUUUUCUAAGUCAUCCAUCACAGGUGAGGUAUGCGAAAAUUGUUAGAUAAAAUUUUUACACUCUCUAAAGUGGUUUUGUGAUUUAUUAUAUCCUAACAAAAAGAAAAUCGGAAAUUAUACCAAACAGCAACAAAAAUUAAUGAAAUUUAGUGAGGGGUCAUUAUCCAUCAUAAGGGUCAUCCAUGAAUUUGUUCCGGAUUUAUUGACCUCUGGAAGUAUUUUAUGUGAUUUAUGCCGUUGGUUUCUAGCAAUAAUUUUAAUAAAUCAAAGAAAUAAUAAAAGCUUUUGGUAUUUUACAGAUUAUCACAUGCAUGUGAGGCAUUUCAAAAGGAAAAAUUUUCAAAAUUUAAUCAGAAGGGAAAUAGGGGUAUUGAACCCAACCAAGUUAAGAAAUGUUGCAUGCAAUGGUGCAUGAGAUAUAAAUGUGGCUGAAGUUCAUGAAUUUAUGAAGCAAAUUCUGUGGGGUUUUAAGCCACGAAAUUUCAGCCAUCAUUCACUGGAUAUGUUAAGUUUCUAAAGUAUUUUCCCCAGAUUUAUGGUUGGGUUUAAGGCCAUUGAUCUUGCAAGGCAAAAAUGGUGAUCAUAGAAAAAGAGCUGUUUGCGCAACCAUUUUGUAAAAAUUGCCAAAAAUCGGAUAUUUAAUAGUUUACAGUGAGACCAGUUGGGUUUGAAAGUUAACUCAUGGAAAUAUCCAAUACAAAAAUAAUAUCAUGAUUUGGUUAAGAAAUGAACGAGAUAUGGUCGUUCAAAGCUGAAUAAAGUAUCUGGCAGAUUGCAUGUUUGCUUUGAGUGCAUCCUUAGGACAUUUUGACAAGAACAUCAUGCAUGCCUUUGAUAAGGUACCAUUUCUAGCACAUGCACGGAGUGAAUGAGAAUCCAAGCUGUACUAGAAAUGGUUUAAAUGCUUUUGACCAUCCAAGAACACAAAAGAAAUGGAGAAGAAGAUGUAAUACUUGUUUUUGAAGUCACAUGAACAUAUCUGCAUCAUUUUCACUCCUUGCAUGGGUUUGAUCCCGGAUUUUCACCAUUUCAAACACAUGCAUUGUGUUAUGGUGAGAAUAUACAAACCACAAGGUACAAAAUAGAGAUUUCUAGCCAUGGAAAGGCAUAGAAUCCGAAAAGAAGAGAAAACUAAGAAGAAGAGGUAGUAGAAUCAUGAAAUUAUGGGAGAAAAAGUUGUUGUUUACCUUGGUUUUGAUCUUUAGGGAUGUAAGAAGACUUCAAAGUCUUCAAAAUCUCGAAAUUUGGCAGAGGAAUGAGAGAAAUUUCGUGAGUUAGAGAGAUAGAGGAAGAGAGUUUGUGGGUUAGGAGGGUGGAGUGUGAGAGAGUGAAGAGAGAAGAGGUAGAGUGAGGGAGAAGUUCUAAUGAUUGAGUUUUGGGAAGAGGGAGCAUGGGGAGGGGAGAAUGGCCAGAUUUUUGAGUGCAUUAAAGCCUCCUCUCUCCUAAAUUCAAAUUUUAUAAAAUUCCCUCCAACAUUUUUAUAAAACCCCAAAUUUUUAUAAAAGUGUUUAUUAGGCAAUUCUUGAUUUAUUUAGAAAUCUUGUUUUUAACUAAUAAAUUAUGAUUAUUGCAUGAUAAUUUAAUUUCUAUUUCAUUGAUUAUAAUCCAUAAUUUGAUUAAUAAAAAUUUGAUAUUAGAAAGUUUAUAGCCAAAUUUUAUAAAGUUUUUAAGCUUUAAGAUUUAUAAAUUUGGAUUUUGGGCUCUUUAGGGUUUUUGGAAUAUUGUUUGAUGUUCAUCAUCAUAAUGAAGUAUAAUUAGAAUAUUUUAAUUUAUUUUUAGGGUUUUAUACCCUUUUUCAAUUAUAACAAAGCUUGAAAGUUUCAUUCAAAUUAUAGCAUUGGCAUUUCCUAUUGUAGUUAAGCAACUUACUAGAAUCAUAAGUGUCAAGUAUAUUAGUCCUAGGUCUUAGAUGGAUCCUAGUUUAUGCAAGAUUUUGACCUAAUUUAUACUACUAGGCCAUGGCAUGAUGUGCAUGAAUGGUUAUUAUAAAG
rnacentral:lncRNA from 1 species